CUUCACCGACCCCAGCCACAGCGGCCGGUCGUCGGUGUGUUCGCGACCGUAGGUGGCGAGCAGCGCCUGCGCCUC
rnacentral:antisense_RNA from 1 species